UAAGCAUAUCAAUAAGCGGAGGAAAAGAAACCAACAGGGAUUGCCCCAGUAACGGCGAGUGAAGCGGCAACAGCUCAAAUUUGAAAUCUGGCCCCAGGGUCCGAGUUGUAAUUUGUAGAGGAUGCUUUUGGCGCGGUGCCUUCUGAGUUCCCUGGAACGGGACGCCACAGAGGGUGAGAGCCCCGUAUAGUCGGACACCAAGCCUCUGUAAAGCUCCUUCGACGAGUCGAGUAGUUUGGGAAUGCUGCUCAAAAUGGGAGGUAAAUCUCUUCUAAAGCUAAAUACAGGCUAGAGACCGAUAGCGCACAAGUAGAGUGAUCGAAAGAUGAAAAGCACUUUGAAAAGAGGGUUAAAAAGCACGUGAAAUUGUUGAAAGGGAAGCGCUUGUGACCAGACUUGCGCCCGGUUGAUCAUCCAGCGUUCUCGCUGGUGCACUCUGCCGGGCUCAGGCCAGCAUCGGUUCUUGCGGGGGGAUAAAAGCUGUGGGAAUGUAGCUCCCUCGGGAGUGUUAUAGCCCGCUGCAGAAUACCCCCGCGGGGACCGAGGUACGCGUUCCGCAAGGAUGCUGGCGUAAUGGUCACCAGCGACCCGUCUUGAAACACGGACCAAGGAGUCAAGCAUUAGGGCGAGUGUUUGGGUGUCAAACCCGCACGCGAAAUGAAAGUGAACGUAGGUGAGAGCUUCGGCGCAUCAUCGACCGAUCCUGAUGUAUUCGGAUGGAUUUGAGUAAGAGCCUUACCGCUUGGACCCGAAAGAUGGUGAACUAUGCUUGAAUAGGGUGAAGCCAGAGGAAACUCUGGUGGAGGCUCGCAGCGGUUCUGACGUGCAAAUCGAUCGUCAAAUUUGAGCAUGGGGGCGAAAGACUAAUCGAACCAUCUAGUAGCUGGUUACCGCC
rnacentral:rRNA from 1 species